rnacentral:rRNA from 1 species
CGUCUAUAUACGUAUAGCAUAUCAAUAAGCGGAGGAAAAGAAACUAACUAAGGAUUCCCUCAGUAACGGCGAGUGAAGCGGGAAGAGCUCAAAUUUGAAAUCUUCAAGGUUCUACCUUGACGAAUUGUAGUUUAAAGAAGUGUUUUCUGUUGGAGUUUUGGUAAAAGUUCUUUGGAAUAGGACAUCAUAGAGGGUGAGAAUCCCGUAUUUGACCAUUAUUUCCAACUUUGUGAUACACUUUCAAAGAGUCGGAUUGUUUGGGAAUGCAGUCCAAAAUGGGUGGUAAAUUUCAUCUAAAGCUAAAUACUGGCGAGAGACCGAUAGCGAACAAGUACCGUGAGGGAAAGAUGAAAAGAACUUUGAAAAGAGAGUUAAACAGUACGUGAAAUUGUCAAAAGGGAAGCGUUUGACACCAGUGUUGUUUUCCUCGAAAAUCAAUUAAAAAAUGAUUGGAUUUUGUGUUGUAUUGACUUUAUCAGCUUUCUGCACUUUUUUCCUGUCUUUUUUAAUGCACUUUUCGUUUAACAAGUCAACAUCAAUUUCUUUUGUUGUAAAAGGGUCAUUGGAAGGUGGCUUUCUUUUCGGAGAAAGUGUUUAUAGCCUUUGACUUCUGCAAUCGGAGAGAUUGAGGUCUGCAGCGUAGAUCCUUCGGGGUUAGAUACAUUUGUGCUAAGUUAUAGCCUUUCAUAGACAACUUGUUGACUAUGAUCAGUCAUGUAGCUUACUCGCUUAUGUUAUUUUACCUACGCUUAGGAUGUUGACGAUCAGCUGGCGCG